UAUGCGCAAAAAGAUUUAUUGGGACUUUAAUACACUGUCAGAAAGAAGGUUUGCACCCAACUGCAACCUUUUUAUUGCUAGGGUGCUACCAUUUAGUACAGUACCUUUACAGGUAUACAUAUCAUAAUACAAUGUUGUACCUUUUGGCAUACAUUACUGUACCUUAAGGAUCUAUUGUGUUCCUCUAACGGUACAGUUACAGUAACUGUUUUGUAACCCUACAAUUUAACUGGUAAAUAAAAUUGUUCCUUAACAAUAGGUUCUAUAAUAUUGUACUUCAAAAGGUACAACAUUUUAAUGUGUUGUUCAACAUUACCCAUAAAGAUACAAAAGGGUACUUUUGAGGGUAAGUUACCACAAAGAAAACAGGACAAUUUAGUGCCUUUUUUCUGACAGUGUACAGAUAAUGUUUUUAAUACCGUACAUAUUGUAUAUUGUAUUGCCUAACCUUAACCUCACAGAAACAGUUUACAAGUUUACAUGACAUUACACACAUUUCAUACACUUAAUAACGCUUUCAAAAAUAAGAAUGAUAGGUUACUCACUGUGCCUGGAAAUCCACAAGGGCUUGCAAGAUUAUCGAAUGAUGUCCUUUGCGGUUGAAAUAGUCUUUGGCAUAGCUUUGUGGUGCAGUUAUCGGAAUGUGCUACUCGUCGAUGGCACCUGCACAUUGAGGGAAACCCCAUAUUCGCUCAAAGCCAUCCCUGAUGUCCAGGAGCCUCUGGCCUGAGGGUAGAUGUAUGUGUUUCUGCAUGCAGGACAUGAUCGCGCUGCAUAUACCUCCCACAAGCAAAUGCAUACUGAAGGCUCAGUCCAAACAGGUGUGAGAUCGUGUUAUAUCCGCUGCCGGUAGCAAGAUACCACAAAGCUAUGGCAAUGCGCUUAUCGACAGGUAUAGCCUGGCGGAGAUGAGUUUCCCUGUUUAUUAACCUGCUUUGAAGGCUGACACAAAUGUGUCAUGUGUGUAGGUGUGUAUAUACAGUAUAUGAUAAAAUAUGCCAUGAUGUCAUUGUUUCAUAAGUGAUGCAGUUCAUACUAAUGAAAUCAGAAAUUCAACAGAGUUCAACUACGUAGUGCCAGUGAAGAGAAAACAAAUGUGUCAUAAUUUAUUAUUUAAGCCUUUAAAACAGGUCUAACAUGUAUUUAAUGACUUGCAGCUCAGACUGACAAGUGAAAUCACUGUUCCAUCCAUGGCAAAUUACAAACAAACGCUGAGUCUGCAGAGCCAGGAAUACCAAAUCCAGGGAAACCUUCUAGCAACAGUAUACUGUAAGUACUUAAACUCCACAAGUAGUAACUCUAUUUAGUAACUCUAUUUUAGACAUGUUUAGGUCCAUCAUUUAGUACAAACAAGAAAUAUGUUCCUUUGAACCACUUUCCUGUGACAUGUUAGUUAAAGUCUGAAACUUUUGGUGUGCAUCUGAAAGAGUCUGAGCCUUGCUGCAUAUAGCAUCUGAUCCUUCUCAUAAAUUUCCAUUUUAGUCAUUUGCCAAAUUAUUCUAAUUCCCACCACUUUUUUCCUCUUUGCAGAACACAUAUCAUCAUUAACCCUAAUUAUCAUAUGUUGGGCUUUUAUGGCCAUUUGCUGACCACAACAAUGUCUGACUAUUCAAUUCAAUUAAAAUUUAUUUGUGUAAAUGUUUACAAUUGACAUUGUCUCAAAGCAGCUUUACAGAACAUAAACAUAGAACAAAAUGUUAUUAUAAAGAAUAAUAUAAAGAUUAAUAUGAUACAAAAUUCAAAUUCAAAUUAAUAUUAGAUAUCUAUUUUAAUGCAUCUGUGUUUAUCCUCAGUGAGCAAGUGUUACCAGAGUGACAUAUAAAUAAUGUUAUUAAUAUAAUAACAUACAGAUGAAUAAAUAAAACGAUUGGAAACUACUUAAAAUAAGUGUAAUUACAGAGAUAAUAUUUAUUUUAUAUAAAUAUAUAUAUAUCUACUUGAUUAUCAAUGUGACCAAUCGCGAGUGGUUUUUUAACCCGAGCAUGAGCCAAUGAGAGCGCAGAAUGUAGCGGAGUGGAGAAAUUGGUUUCCGGUUUUGCAUGAGGUUUGCUUGUGGUAUUAGAGGCAGCCCUCGUUAGCGUGCAUAGAUGCAGAGGACUGCGGUGUUUGCUAAAACUCCGGAAAACAGAAAUAAAGAAAUAACCUUUUUGAUGUGCUUUAUCGACGGAUUGAUGUUAAAGAAAAGGAUUAAAUCGGAUGUGCUGUAGCUGCACCGUUUCUGGAAAUUUCAAUAAGUUAACGAGCUCCUUGGUCAGGUUUUUGUUUUUUUGUUUUGUUUUUGUUUUCUUGUUCUGAUGUUCGAAGGCAUGUGUUCUGGAUUCGUCCCGGCCUUCCAGUGGUUUUGAGGAGGGUUUGGACUGGCGAGCCUCCCUUGAGUUGUUCUUGGACUUUCUGUGGAAACACCAGUUUUUUUUCUAUACUCUGCGAAUGGUAGGAAAUCAAAUAAUUUCUUUUUCCUCGUUCGGAUGAAGACAUAUUUUUUCCCCUCAUCGACAGUGAAAAGACAUUUGUUUAGAGAUCAAAGGACAUUUUAUUUCAUUGAGAAGUGUCAGUUUUUUUUGUGUGUUGAUAAGUGAGAUGUAUUGGGGGUUUUUUUUUUAUGCUUGAAUAUUUAUUUUUUGUUAUUGAAAGUUAUUGAACAAAGAACUUACUUUGUUGAAGAUCAAUGGGAAAAUUUCCCAAAACCUGUUAAAACACAAGUAAUAACAAAAUUCAAAAAUAAUUUCAUUUGUGAGAUUAUAUAUUUUUUUUGUUUUAAUUAUUUCACAUUGCUUCAAUUUAACCUCUUGGACAUUGUUAAAUAAACACAUUGUAUGUUCAAUCCA